UACGAAGGGGGCUAGCGUUGCUCGGAUUGACUGGGCGUAAAGGGCGCGUAGGCGGUUUGCAUAGUCAGACGUGAAAUUCCUGGGCUUAACCUGGGGGCUGCGUUUGAUACAUGCAGGCUUGAGUUCGGAAGAGGGUCGUGGAAUUCCCAGUGUAGAGGUGAAAUUCGUAGAUAUUGGGAAGAACACCGGUGGCGAAGGCGGCUACCUGGCUGAGUAUUGACACUGAGGCUCGAAAGCGUGGGGAUCAAACAGG
rnacentral:rRNA from 1 species